GUGACACCUUUAUGGGGAGAGACUUGUUUCAGUGGGGCUUUGGUGCUCACUGAGUCUGCCCCCUGAGUGUGUCCCU
rnacentral:pre_miRNA from 1 species